CACGUAGGGUGCGAGCGUUGUCCGGAAUUAUUGGGCGUAAAGAGCUCGUAGGCGGUUUGUCGCGUCUGCUGUGAAAACCCGAGGCUCAACCUCGGGCCUGCAGUGGGUACGGGCAGACUAGAGUGCGGUAGGGGAGAUUGGAAUUCCUGGUGUAGCGGUGGAAUGCGCAGAUAUCAGGAGGAACACCGGUGGCGAAGGCGGGUCUCUGGGCAAUAACUGACGCUGAGGAGCGAAAGCGUGGGGAGCGAACAGG
rnacentral:rRNA from 1 species